rfam:Burkholderia glumae BGR1 chromosome 2, complete sequence.
GCGGCCAUCAGGGGGAGCCGGCGUGCCGGCUGAGAGGUUCCGCUCACGGAACGACCCCGGAACCUGAUCCGGAUCAUGCCGGCGUAGGAAUGAGGUCAUCCACGUGU